AUGGCGGGCAGCGGAGGCGGCGCGUACAGGGCGGAGGACGACUACGACUACCUCUUCAAGGCGGUGAUCAUCGGCGACUCCGGCGUCGGCAAGUCCAACCUGCUCUCGCGCUUCACCAAGAACGAGUUCUGCCUCGAAUCCAAGUCCACCAUCGGGGUCGAGUUCGCCACCCGCAGCCUCCAGGUCGACGGCAAGGUCGUCAAGGCCCAGAUUUGGGACACCGCCGGCCAGGAGAGAUACCGUGCUAUCACAAGUGCCUAUUAUAGAGGAGCAGUAGGCGCGUUGCUUGUGUAUGAUGUCACUCGCCGUGCUACAUUCGACAAUGUGGCGCGCUGGCUAAAAGAGCUGAGAGAUCACACUGAUUCUAGCAUUGUUGUCAUGUUAGUUGGCAACAAAUCUGAUCUUCGUCACUUGGUGGCUGUUUCAACUGAAGAUGGGCAGGAAUAUGCUGAGGCGGAGUCACUGUACUUCAUGGAAACAUCUGCAUUAGACGCGACAAAUGUAGACAACGCUUUCUCAGAAGUUUUGACUCAGAUAUACCGAAUUGCGAGCAGGAAGACGGUUGAUGCAGGAGACGACGGCUCAUCUGCCCCAAGCAAAGGGGAGAAUAUAAAUGUGAAAGACGACGUGUCUUCGCUGAAGAGAGCUGGCUGCUGCUCGAGUUAG
rnacentral:rRNA from 1 species